AAUACGAAGGGGGCUAGCGUUGUUCGGAAUUACUGGGCGUAAAGCGCACGUAGGCGGACAUUUAAGUCAGGGGUGAAAUCCCGGGGCUCAACCUCGGAACUGCCUUUGAUACUGGGUGUCUUGAGUGUGGAAGAGGUAAGUGGAAUUGCGAGUGUAGAGGUGAAAUUCGUAGAUAUUCGCAGGAACACCAGUGGCGAAGGCGGCUUACUGGUCCACAACUGACGCUGAGGUGCGAGAGCGCGGGGAGCGAACCGGA
rnacentral:rRNA from 1 species